AUUUAAGGGCUGACUCCCAAGGAGAAAGGAUCUCUAUCUGGAGAUCACCUCUCUUGGAUCCCUUCUGUGAGCCCAGGACAUGGACACUGAGGCUCCUGAGGGAUAUACCACUGAGGCAGAGCAAUCCCUCCAUGUGGCAGGAUCUUUGCUGUUUGCUGUUGUAAGCAAUGUCAGCAGAUAUUCAAAGGAACUGGAAGUCUGAUGCAACAUAGCUAAGAUCCUUCUGGAAGUUCCAAUCUUAUAAACUUCUUUAAGCAAGACCGGCGUGAGGAAGGAAAGGCAAUUCAUUCUAGAAUUUUAUGAACUUCCUCCUAAAAAAAUCUCCCCAGCUGCUGUUCAGGUUCAUUAUGUUCCUAUCACCAGAGGCUGUUGAAAGGAGACUUCUGAUGAGGUCACUUUGGUGAUGCCAUUUCCAUCAACAUAAAUAACUUCUUGUAAUAGACAGAAGGACACAGUCACCACCCAAAACUUUAGUUUCUAUCUAUGACUUUUCUGUUGGGAACACUGACUUACUCUGUCAGUAGUAGUGUGAAUGAGAUUGACUUCAGGCUGUAAAAAUGCUAACAGAAAAAAAUCAUUCUGCAGUUUACAAUUACUCUUUGAAGUACCAAGGAGGGUGGAGUUUGAGGCAUUCAGGAAACAAGGCAAACUUUUAGUUCUGUUCUGUGAUUUUAAGUGUUAUGUAUAGAUAGAUUCUACCCUCCAGAGUUGAUUAGUAAUACUGAUAAGUAUAAACCAAAACAGGGAAAUUAUAUAUAUAUAUGAUCCACAAAUCCACCUUGGUUUAUAUUUUCAUCUUUUGUCCCUGACAGCAGUAAAAAUCAUGGAAUACUCUAUUAAUUUAAAACUCGAGUAAUUAUAGUUUACUUAUGCUUGAGAAUUUUGUUAAAUUAGUAUUAAUAAUCAUGUUAAAUCACUACCCAGAGACACAGCUGAAAGUUUGAUCUUGUUUAUGUCAACGAUAUAACAAUAAAUUUAAAUAAAUGGGCCCUGCCUCUUCAGAAUUUUAGUAAAAAAUGCUUAAUUCCUGUCAUUUCAAGGACCAUUGAUAAUUACAUUUACAUAAUUAAUGUGGUUUACUUUUAAUAGCACUUAUACUGAACAGUGAGUGUCAGACUGAAUGACUGUACACCACAUGACAGGGGAAAAUUAAUGUAUUUCUGAAUCAUUCAUUUAGUGGGGAAAAAUUGUGUAGAGCAAUGCUGAAUGCCCUUCUAUUGCAUUCUAGUCAAAACAUAAGUGAAUUGACAUACGCAGUUGCUAGAUGAAGCAUACUUCAUGAGGAAGUGCUUGAUACUUGUAUCAUAGAAACGUUAUUUGAAUGUGAUUAGAUUUUGUUUUCUUCUUAAUUUCUCAGUAAUGAUGUAGUAAAUAAUCUGAAAAGUCGCUUUUUACUUCAUAUUGUUUACUAAGGAGACUAGUUGAUGUUUUUACCAGCUGUUCAUUGCAUUUUUUUUAAAUGUAACAGAAUCAAAAGUAGGCAGAAUGGGAGCAUUACAAAAUGUCUUUAAUUCCCACAUCAUGUCUGAGACCUUCUAGAUGAAUGGUUAAUUUACCACUCCAGAUCAUUGACUGUGAUCUCUGCUGCAUAAACAUGGUGGUAAUUUUUCGUCUGAAAUAUUUUUGACAUACAUUUUUGUAGGGGGGGGGGGUAAGGACUAUUAGUACUGUCCUGGUUUCAGCUGGAUUAGAGACAACUUUCUUCCAGCUAUUAAACACACUGAUGUUUCAGCUGUUGCUGAGCAGAACUUGUGCAGAACCAAGGACGUUUCAGCUUCUCAAUUUGCCCUGCCAGUGAGGGGGCUGGGAGAGAACAAAACCAGAACAGCUGUCCCAGGCUGGUUAAAGGGAUAUCCCAUACCAUAUACUGUCACGCUGAACAAUAAAGCCAGGCGUAUUUGGCUGGGGGGGCAGGAAGCUGCUGCCUGGGCACCACUCAGUGGGUGGCGAGCUUCAUUAGUAUUGUAUGUUCUUUUGUUUUCUAUUUGUUUUCUGCCCUGUUAAACUGUCCUUAUUUCAGCCCACGAGUCUUACGUUCUUUUCUGCCCCAUCCCAUUUCUGGGGAGUGCUGGGGUGGGAGGAAAUGCUUAUGCCUACAGUGGGAUUUCCAUUAAGCAGUUCAACGAUCUUUUGAAAGCAGAUUAUGCAUUUGGUCUAAACUCUUUUAUGUAUCAGGAGAGAGAAAUAACCACUUUUAAGAUUUUCAUCUUCCAGUCCUCUUCAGAAAUGCCACAACUACCUAUGAAGAGAGGACAAGUAACUCCAAUAUGAAGUCAAGUAGUUGCCUAGAUUAGUCUCAGAGCUGAAAGUAAAUCCACUUUGGUGGAAUAAGAUAGUCUUGAGAAGUUUGUCUUAAUUUAAUCUAUUGGCAUUUAACACAAAGCUUUGCUUAAUCACUUGGGUAUUGUGAGACAAAAAAGAAUCACAAAAGGUAAGCCACAAGGAAAAAAGCAAACAUUUCAGGGAACACUCUUCCUCCCCCUCCUCAGGCCCAGUGUAAAACAGAUUCUUCUCCUCCUUUCUUCACAAUUUCAGCUUGUUUUUGACCCAGGUAGAACUCACUACCACCAGCAUUCACCUCUGAUCUUGUGGGCCAAUGUAAUAAAAUGAAGGUAUUACUUUUGGAGCAGACCUCAUAAAAUAUCCAAUAUAGUUAAUGUACAUAAGUAGUAAAACUUAUUUUAAUCUUGUACAUGUUUUAU
ensembl:lncRNA